rnacentral:rRNA from 1 species
GAGUUUGAUCGUGGCUCAGAUUGAACGCUGGCGGCGUGCCUAACACAUGCAAGUCGAGCGGUAACAGGCGUAGCAAUACGUGCUGACGAGCGGCGAACGGGUGAGCAAUGCUUCGGAAUCUGCCCAAUGGUGGGGAAUAACCAGUCGAAAGAUUGGCUAAUACCGCAUACGCCUUCGGGGAAGCGGGGUCGCAGACUCGCGCCGAUGGAUGAGCCGAAGUCGGAUUAGCUAGUUGGUAGGGUAACGGCCGUACCAAGGCGACGAUCCGUAGCUGGUCUGAGAGGACGACCAGCCACACUGGGACUGAGACACGG